rnacentral:lncRNA from 1 species
AGAAGAGAGAAAGCAGAUUGUCCUGAGCCCCAAGUGUCUGUGAUUCUCUUAGCUAAGUAAGGAAUCAGUGCCAGAGACAGAGGUUGCUGGAGCUGAGAGGAGACGUAGUCAAGAAGAUUGGAGAAGGCUCUGCGGAGAAGGUGAACUUGAGCUAAGACUUGAAGGGAGGGCAGGCUUGAAGGGAUGAAACAGCCUCCUCUGUGCUAAAGAGAGGAGUGACAGGGCCAUCAUCAGGCAAAGGGGACAUUACCAGGCAAAGGGACACCAUUGGUCAAAGGCGAUGGUGGAGACAAGACAUUCUGGAAGAGCCCGGAUCAGAGAGAUUUGGGGCCAGGAGCCGGCAUCAGGGGACCGGCUCCCUAAGGAACCAUGGCACCACUGGCUCUCAGCUGGAAAUAAGCAGCAGAUGAAGCACAUGCAUCCUGAGUUUUGGCUCUGGUGAUGGUGGUGGAGCUGUUAAUUCUUGGAGUCCAAAUUCCUGCACCACCUCUGAGUUCCGAGGGGGUGGGGAAGAGCAAGUGAUGGCUGGACAGCAAAGAGGAGUGGAGGCCGGGAGAAUGGGCAGCUAGCCCAGCGCUCUCCAAUAUCUGGGAGUCGACCGCACUCCUGCACUCCCUGUCAUCCCUGCUAAUGGUGAGGAACUGAGCAAAAGAGCCUCCAGAGUGACAGGUAUUACCAUUGCUCCAAUCUUACAGAUGAGGAAACUCAGGCAUGGAGAGGUUGAGCGACUUGCCCAAAUUCAUGCAGUUAGGACCUGGCAGAGCUGCGCUUUGAACCCAGGCUGCCUGGCUCUAGAGUGUGUGCACGAAACUUCACUGCCAUAUGAACAAAACUGCAGGACAUAUGUUCUCAAAGCAAAUAAGCCUCCCAGAGAGGCUUUUCCUGAUGGCUUCAAGGACCUGCCCUAGCCUGGUCUGACUUCCCAGAGGGGAUCCAGUCCCAACAUUGGCCCUAUCUUUAGACCACAUUUCCAUCCCAUUCUCAGUGAAAACCCUGAGUCAUGACAGAAGACAACCAAUGCUGGAGAGAGGAGGUUUCAGGAGGACAACAGUCAGAAUACCCCCAAGACGUCCUUCUUUCCCUAAGGUCUCAAAAUCCUUGCCUCAAGAAGUUAUUCCUGAAGUCUAGCUUGAAUUCCUCCAGAUAGAGUUUAAACCAGACAAACAGCCUACGAACAUGUUACAAUAUUCAAAAACUUCUAAUUUAGUCACCAUCACUUGCAAAUAGGGAUAUCUCAUGGAAAUACGAUUUCUGAUUUAUCUUGAAAAGUCAAGAUGAUCUGGCCACAAUGGGCCUGCACUCCUGUGAGGUGGUAUCAUUGGCUUGGGGGUCUCACCAGUGCCACCCUGCAUGGGGGCACCGGGUGACAUGAUGCUCGAUUGAGCUUUCCCUCCAGGCUGGGUAAUCAGAGGCCAGGCCCUGUGUGUCUUCCAGGGGAUGCUGUCCUGAUCCAGGCUGGUGAGGCAAGGAGGGGCUGCGGCUUCCUGAGCUCUCCGAGCUGCUAAUGUGCGUGGGGAAUGCUAAGCAGCCUCCAGGCUCUGACCAGGUUUGUCUUCUAGGACCCACUUGCCCAAUGGGUGCCAGGACACCAGGUCUGGGUCUGGAGAAGAGAAUUCUUCUCCAAGGGAUGUUGAUGGUCCAUUCCGGAAAUGAAAGCUUCCCACGGUCUGCCCUGCACCAGGCUUUCAUCAGUGAGAAAUACCCCGAAUUUACACCCAAACCUAAAAGGAGAAGCGUAGAAGUGUUCUUGGCCCAAUUCUUUUAAUUGCAAGUCCUACUAGCAGGACAACUAAGGGAUUAUCCCUAAACUUUCAUUUAAAAGUCUGGGGAGGGAAGGAAGGAGUAAAAACUUUGGCAGUCAGAUUUUUCUCACUUUCACAUUUAUUCUUUACUAUUAAUGACUUGUUCAUCAUGCUGUACAACAAUUGUGCAAAGAUGCAUACGUUUGCCACUAUAAUUUGCCAUUAAAAUGUAAUAAUCAGUAAGUAUACACGGCGUGCCAGGUGCUAAACAGCAGAUGAGGGGCGAGGUGGGUGAAGGUUCCAUGCCGUGAGUUUGUGGCUAAUGGAACCCCUCAUGCUGCUGCUAUCCUUCCUGGGCCCAGCAGUUGGAUCCUGCAGGGGUGCCCCACUCUCUCGGGGACCUCAGAAAUGUCCUCUAUGGUUAGGGACGGCUAAGGAGGGUGUAUCUGCAGGAUUCCCAGGCACUGGGAGGUGUAUAGAGGUCACAGGACCCAUACAACCACCCCAGACCUUGUCAGAGUGCUCCAGUCUGGCAUCCGCAGAAGGCCAGGGAGGGUCAAGGGGCAGUGCUGAGCCACUGAACACAGCCACAGAGUUGGAGCUGCCAGGCAGAAGGUGCACGGCUCAGCAGAGGAGACCCCUUGAGGCAGCAAUGCUGGGGCCGGAGGGUCAAGGCUGAGGAGAAGGCCACCGCAAUGCCCUGUGUGGCCCUCAUGAGCUGAGGGACCAUGGGAAGGUGGCCUAGCCACUCUGAGCCUCAGUUUCCCCGGGAGAUAAAAACAGAGACAGUAUCUGCAAACUCAACAGGGCAUUAUGGUGAAGAAAUGAGAGGACUCAGGAACAUGUUAGCUGUCACAGCCUUAGCCACUGCCAACUCCAGCCAGGCAGCUGGUCAACAUUGCCGAGCACCAGCCAGGUGACAGGAGGACAGAGGGCUCGGGGGAAACCAAAUCCAUCCCCCCAAACAAAAGAAAAACACAAACAAAAAUAGGCACCAGAGCCGCCGGACGUGUACAAAGACUGUGUACGUUCUGCCUGUGGACAGAGCCCAGGAAGAGCACCCUGGCUCCUGUGCUCCACGCCUGCAGCUCAUCUGGAAGGUUCCCUGUCUAUGGCAGCCAGGUACCCAGGCCAGCCUGCAAAGGCCCAGUAACAGAACUUGUGUCUAAGAUAGAACUUCAUAGCUUUGUGCUGCCAAGCCCACCUGGAGCCCCCUUUAAGCCUUCUUUUGUUUGUUUGUUUGUUUGUUUUGAGACAGGAUCUCAUUCUGUUACUCAGGCUGGAGUGCUGUGGUGCCAGCAUAGCUCACUGCAGCCUCAAACUCCUGGGCACAAGCGAUCCUCCCACCUCAGCCUUCUGAGUAGCAGGGACUGCAGGUGCAUGCCACCCUGCAAAGCUAAUUUUAUUUAUUUUAUUUUUUGUAGAGACGCGGUCUCACUAUGUUGCUCAGGUUGGUCUCGAACUCCUGGGCUCAAGUGAUCCUCUGCCUUGGCCUCCCAAAGUGCCGGGAUUACAGGCAUGAGCCACUGCGCCCCAACCCGUUUAAGCCCUUCUGAGCUUUAAACCUCAUCUGCCUCCACUCUGCGCCCAGCAGUGGGGGAAGGUAGGGAGGGGAAGGUAGAAACAUGUAAAGGAGACAGGGUCAUCGGAGCCAGCUCUGGGUGUGAGCUCACCAUCUUCCACAAGGCCGUUCGUGGAUCCGGCCUGGCGAACUGACCACGGUUCUCCACAGAGUAGGGGCAGGUAAGGGGCUGGGAUGAGGCUCUGACCUCUGCAGCGUGAGGAUGCCAGGGAGGAGGGCAGGCGGGGGGGGCGCCCCUUCCUCUGGUUAUCUGUAGUCCUGGAUGCCUCGUGUAAGUGAGAACACAAUCGGUCCCAGGAGGACUGUCUCUAGAGGAGGCACCAGGGGCCCGGUGGAGGCAGGAGAGGCCGAGGGGAGGCAGGUAGGGAGCAGGCAGGGCUGAGCGGUGCUGCAGCAACAGGCAGGGUCAGGGAGACGCCAAGACUCCCAGUCCCACAACAAGGUACCACAGACCAUAUAGCUCAUAAACAAUAAUUUAUUUCUUGCAAUUCUUUUUCUUUUCUUUUUUUUUUUUUUUAUUGAGACAGAGUCUCAGUCUGCUGCCCAGGCUAGAGUGCAGUGGGGCGAUCUUGGCUCACUGCAACCUCCACCUCCCGGGCUCAAGCAAUUCUUCCACCUCAGCCUCCUGAGUAGCUGGGAUUCCAGGCGCACACCACCAUGGCCAGCUAAUUUUUGUAUUUUAUUUUAGAAGAGACAGGGUUUCACCAUGUUGGCCAGGCUGGUCUCAAAUUCCUGACCUCAAGUGAUCCGCCGGCCUUGGCCUCCCAAAAUGCUGGGAUUACAGGCGUGAGCCACCGCACCCAGCCAAUGUGAGCCAAUUAAACCUCUUUUCUUUAUAAAUGAUCCAGUCUCAGGUAGGUCUUUAUAGUAAUGUGAGAACAGACUAAUACACUAAGAGUCCCUUUGUAACCUUGGAACCCACCUCUGGUUCUACAACCUGCCCUACAGGAAGCUCACUACAGCAGGCAUGUUUCCCCUUUGCUUCACACACCACAAUGGCAGCUUAUCACAGUAGGUGCUCAGCAGUGUGGCUAGGGGCCAGUUGCUGGCUGUGCGCUCUGCUUUAUACACACCACUGCUAUUCCUUACAGCAGCCCUGAAAGAGAGGUGCUAUGAUUCCGAACCAGGCUCAGAGAGGUCCAGCUACUUACCCAAGGUCACACAGCUAGUAGGGGGCAGCCAAGAUCCAACCCCAGCCAGCCCUCCUCCAAAGCCUGGGCCCUUUCCACCACAUCUUACUGGCUCUGCAGAGUGGCAGGAAGAGACAGGUAAAUGCAUCUCAGCGGGGCAGGCUCGGGCUCCACGUCAGGAAAACUGCAGUCAGCCACGCUGGGCCACCCGCCCUCUGCAGAGCACACGCAACAGCGCAGUCAUUAAAGCUGAACUGAGCCCUCUCAGGACCAGUGGGAACAUCUCUGAACACUGAAGUUCUGCAUCUGAAAGAGAAACCUAGGAAUGCCUUGCUGCUUCUCUGGGUGUAGAGACGGCCCCCAAAGAGCAGGGCCCUGGGGCUGCGCUCUCAGUCCCUCCGGGAAUGUGGGGAUGAGCUGAAAAGCGGGAAUUCUGGAGGAACCGGAGACCACCAUGGUGGGCUGACUGGGACAGGACUGUGGGCAGGGUGUGAAUCCGCCCACGGAAGUUACUCCAGGGGAGACCUCCCUUUCAAACCAGCAGUGCCACCUGGCCCAGAGUGGCUGGGAGGAUGAAAUGUGGUCAUCUGGGUGAAAGCACUAAGAGAAAAGAGAGUGUUCUGGUUGUUUUUGAUAUAAAAGGAUUUGGCAUCAAGAUCGUCAAAUGACAUCAGUCAGCCUCACCUCAGGGAACAUGUCCACCGAGGUCUCAUUGGAAAUGCAGGGAACAGGGUGGCUCAUGGGCUAGUCUGGGUUGUCACAGACUAUGACAAGGAGUAGAUACUUCAGCACACUAGCCCACCUCCCUUCUCCUCCUACCCACCCCCUCUGACUCCAGGAGAGCCCUCUAAAGUGCUGUGUUCAGUUACAUGCCUUAUAUAUGCUGAACACACACACACUCACACAUGCUCACAGACACAAUGCACACACACGCUCACACGCCACACACAUGCACCACACACACAACACACAUGCUCACACACACCACACACAGACACAUCACACACACAUGCUCACACACCACACACAUAUCACAACACACCACACAUGCUCAAACAUACACACUCACACAUGCUUACACACCACACACACAUCACAUGCCCACACACAUGCUCAUGCACACACCAUACACAACUCACACACCACACACACCUCACGUCACACAUACACACCACAUACUUCACACACACACUACACACACAGACUCACACACGCUCACACAGCACACACCCCCACACCACACACAUACACACUCAUGCUUACACACCACACACACUCACCCCCAUCCCCCCACACUUUGCGCGCACACACACGCACUCCAGUCUCUAACAUGACAGGGUUAGGCCAGAUCAGAGCUUUUGUGACCAGGGACAUUCGUCAUGCCUGCCAGCAUCACUUGAGGAGCCUUUUAAAAGAACCCUUCUUCCGGAUAUUUUCAUCCUUUCCAAGUGUGCUGAUGCCUGAGCGUAUACAUGCAUUUAAUCUUUUUUAAAAAGCAAUUGGCUGGGCAGGGUGACUCACGUUUUAAUCUCAGCCCUUUGGGAGGCUGAGGCAGGAGGAUUGCUUGAGUCCAGGAGCUUGAGACCAGCCUGGGCAACAUAGAAAAACUCCAUCUUGAUUAAAAAAAAUAGCUGGGCACGGUGGUAUGCGUGCCUAUAGUCCCAGCUACUCAGGAGGCUGAGGUGGGAGGAUUGCUUGAGCCUGGGAGGUUCAGGCUGCAGUGAACCAUGAUUGUACCACUGCACUCCUGCCUGGGCAACAGAGAGAGACCCUGUCUCAAAAAAAAAAAAAAAGGUAAAAAGUAACAUUUAAGCAUGGUAAUACAAAAUUAAUAGUAGAGAAAUGGAAAUGACAUCUCCCUUCACCCAGUUUCUCCCCACCAGAGGCCACCACUGAAACUGCAUUCUCAUUCUUCCUUCCAGAGUUAGGCUAUGUCUGUGUGGACUCUGUUGCAUGCGCUGGCCUUCCUUGCACGCAGAGGACAGUACACAGUACCUGCCUUGUUCCUCACUGCUUUUCUCACUGACCCACAGGAUCUGAGGGGCACCCGCAGCAGUGCAGACGGACCGCUCCAUUCCGUCAGAGGCCACACUUAUUUCACCAGUUCCAUCCUGAUGUUUUCCAGACUUCUACAUAACAGAUGAUUCACCAGUGUGUCCCCCCAUGGAUGCCUCUGCUCACAUAGAAAGGGUUAAUUCUUGGAAGCUGAGGUGCUGUCAAAGGGCAUCUGACAGAUCAGCCGCCCUCUGCUCCAGGGGUGUGGUCUUCCUCUCCGACCCAUGAUGCGUGGCAGCCUGGCUGCCCACACCCUCAGAUCCCUGAGCAGCAGUGUCUCGCUGUGGUUUUAUCAGCAGUCUUUUUAAAUUAAUUUUUUUUUUUCUGUCACUUGCCUGGAUGGAAUCAGCAGUCUUUUUAUUAUGAGGGAGAUCAAGCACCUUUUCAUGUUAAAUCCCUCCUCCUUUUUUUAUCCUUUUCCUGUGAGCUACCUGUUUUUCUCUUUUAUCAGGCCUGGAUAUUUUGGGGCAAUGCUGGGCUGUCCUAGUACUCCCUGCCUGUUCCAGUUGAUCCAGGCUCCUUAAAGCUCCAACAGUGUGGAUUCUGUGAGCAUCAUGAAAGCCCAAGGGUGGUGGUCUCUCCAGGUGUCAGAGAGCCAAUGGUGAGUGAGAGAACCCCCCGGCCAGGGCAGCAGAGAAGCCUCAUGCCCACCAGUGCCAAUAGCCUGGCAUGGGAGCAGCCCUCUUUGUACAGGAAAAUGGGCCACAUUUGUCUUUAACAUUUGCUUCUUGUCCAAAGCAUUUUAGAGUGUGAUGGACAUGAAAUGAUGGAGACAGUGUGUAUCUACUUCCCUUGAAAGCUCCUCCAGCGAAUCCAGAGCCAGCAUCUUCCUGUAGCAUCUGCCCCUCCCUCCCUUUCAGGCCUGUGGUAACAUCUCCUCCUGCAGAACCUGGGCCCUGCUAUCCUGCUAUCAAAGGGUGGAGAGCCUGAUGGUCUGUGAAAUUCCCAGGGAAGGUUCAGGUAUCAGAAAUGCACUGAAGAACCACCUGAGCUCACUCUGUUAAUGGCGAUAUUUCACGUGAUUUAUCUGGAAGGGUUGGUAACUGAUAUGGUAACAAAUCUCAUCUUGAAUUCCCACAUGUUGUGGGAGGGAUCUGGUGGGAAGUAACUGAAUCAUGGGGGCAGGUCUUUUCUGUGCUGUUCUCUUGAUAGUGAAUAAGUCUAACGAGAUCUGAUGGUUUUAAAAAGAGGAGUUCCCCUGCACAAGCUCUCUCUCCCUGUCUGUCUGCUGCCAUCCAUGUAAGAUGUGGCUUGCUCCUCCUUGCCUUCUGCCAUGAUUGUGAGGCUUCCCCAGCCACUUGGAACUGUAAGUCCAAUUAAACCUCUUUCUUUUGUAAAUUCCCCAGUCUCGGGUAUGUCUUUAUCAGCAGCGUGAAAACGGACUAAUACAGAAACUUAGCCUGGAGGUCCUGAUUAACAGCUAACGCCUCCACCCUUACACAUAGCUUCUGUUUUGUAAUCCCUGGAAAUGUGGGUGCAUAUGAGGCUCCCUCUGCCUCCUCCCACAGCCAUAUGAGCUGCCGCCUCCUAGGAGAACCUGGCAGGGCUGGCAGCACCCCCAGCUCCCCAGUUCAGCCCAGAAGGGGGCUGCCUGGACUCCAAGAUUUCUCCCUUCACCCGCGGCUGCCUCCUGCCCCCAUGACUACAGUGUGAUGCUGUCUGGGAAGCUGAAUGUCAUCUUCCCUGGGCUUACCUGCCAGGCUCCUCUCAUCCACAUCUUCCAGCCUCUAGCCACAUGGACCCCUCCGGAAAGCAUGUGUGUGUGGGGGGUAUGUGUGAACAUUUUUCAUGCUUGAUGUGAGCCGGAAGAAAAAUGAGCUUCUCUAUUUGAUAAGUGUGGACCUGCCCACAGCACUAAAUUUGGUUCUGCCGUCACCGGCGCCAUGAAGCAGCAGCCUGGUUUAGAGGCUUGCCUUUGGUUUCAAAUAAUUUCUCCAGGCUCAUGUUACAUAUGACCCAUUCACAGAGGCUGGAGGGCAUGGCUUCUCCAGUCCUUAGCACUAAAGACGUGUCUUUUGGCUCCUGCACGACUAGCACAGGCAGUAGAACCAGAUGGGGGAUGCUCUGAGGUUGCAGAGGCAGGAAGGCAAGCGGGAGAGAGCUUGGGCCUGGACAGAGGGAUGAGCUGGCUCCCUCCCCAGCUGUGAAAUCUCUGAGUCUCAGUUUGCUUCUCUGCAAAAUGAGGAUAAUAAUCCCCACCUCGGGACUGAGGAUUAACGAGGCAAUGGUUUUAGCAGAAUAAUCCACUGCUGCUAUUAUUAUCAGCAUCUUCGUAUAGCAAAACUCAUUUGGACCAAUGGGGAGUGCGUUAAGUUGGUCUGAAGUAGGGCAAAGGAACGAUUAUAGAAUGUUUCAAAGGAAAUGUGUUUUUUAUUAUUUCCAUGUAUAUAGAGUACUGGAACUGAGUGCUAGGAGGUGGAGAACUGACUUGAUUUAAAUAAGGAGAGCUCAUUUGACAUUGGCCUGUUUGAUUUCUCAACAUCCAACUGUGUUAAUAAAGAGGGUUUUGAGCUAUCUAUGUGCCCAGCUCUGUGACUGGAGAAGGAAAGUCACAUAAGACACAGUCCUUGCCCUCACAGGACGUGCAACCUGUGGGCAGAUGAGUCCUACACAGGAAGCGGGGGCAAGAAGGAAACUGUGAGGCACUGGGGAGCACGGCGCUGCCACAGGUGAGAGGAAACGCGUAGCCUCUGGACCUUGAGUGCCAAGGCUGGGGAAAGCUUCGGGGAAGAUGGACACUGAGGAAGGUCAGGUCAAUUUAAAUAGGGGGUGGGGCAGGGAGAGAGGGGCAAGGCUGCCAUGGGUGAGCAAGGGGCAGAAAGAGCACGGCAUCUAUGAAGGAGCCACAGGGCAGGCUGGCAGGAGGCGGGACUGGGCAGGGAGGUGAGCCAAGGUGUGGGGACCCGGGCAGGCAGCUCGAGGCCAGCUUGGCUUAGCAGGCGAUGCCCAUGGCAGGACCACACUUGGAGAGGGCCAGGGCAGGUGACGGGGUUGCUCUGGGAGGAAUUUGGCAAUGGCAUGCAAAACGGAUUGGAUAUGAAUUUUGGAAUUGAAACAGGGAACAACUCAUUAUUGUUUCCAUAAGGAUCCGAGGGUGAGAUGAUAAGGUCUAAAAUCAUUUUAUCGCUGGUGAGAGUGUGACUGGAAACAGAGGGGCAAACUGAGGCAAUGCCUGGAAGAAACUGGCGGGUCUGUUCCAGGAUGUGGAGGGAGAAGAGCUUAAGGCUCCAUGGCUUGCCACAUUCGGGACUGGAAGAUGGCAAAUUCCAGUGACCGAAGUGCACAGACCAGGUGGUAAUGGGGGCAGCAUUUUACUAAAACGCAAGGCUAUGGGGCCACUGGACACCCAGGACUGGCACUCAAACCUGGCCACGCUGGAGAAGAGAUGGGCCAUUGUCAGGGUGGGGGUUAUGCAUACACCCUGAAAUACCUCCCACCAUCCACGCUCCGGAGAAACCCUCCAUUUACAGGGUGAAGGCAAACUGACUUUAGCCCCGCUCUGGCUCAAUUCAAAUGCCAGGUGCAAGCAGUUCAAUUAACGCGCCUGCCCCGUGCCUUUGACACCAAACAGAUGUCAGAAUAUUACACCAUCCAAGUCAAUGCCUGGCUUUAAUUUAAUCACUCAUGCCUUAAUCGAUUCCUGUCACAUGCUAAACACUGUGAGUGGUGGGGAGAGGCUGCUCCUAGGCAUAAUUAGAAUAUGAGAUUCUGUACCAAGUCCCUGUCUGGUUAGGAAAAAACUGAAAACUCCAGAAAAAACAGAAAAGCUCCCAGGAAAUUCCAUCCAAGGGUCGUGACUUGAGCCCAGAAGGAAGUCCCAGCCCUUCCCCAGAGAAGUCAGCACUGGCAGGGGCUGGAAAUCACUUGAGGUCAUGCUCAAGGCACCCCCACCCACUGUCUUGCACCCUGGUUUGGGGCUCCUUCCUUCCAAAGAAGGGGACAGACAAGAUCAGUGCAGGCUGGGCUGUGGCCACCCAUGCAUCCCUCCUGGGCACGGACCCUGCUGGCUCAGCCCUCACCCCUAGGAACCAGCUGCACCGUCUGACUGACGCUAAGGGAGCCAGGUGGCAGCAGCUAUACUAUUUCAGGUCAGGCUAAAGUCAGCCCACCAAAGACUUCAGAUCAGCACCUGACUGCGGCUCCUGGGAGGCAUCCCCCAGCCCUGCAGCACUUCUGAGAAGCUCAAAGGAAUUCUCUUAAGUUGUUUUAUUUCAGUUCUAUGACUAUGCGAACAGAAGAGAGACCACAUUAUCAUCCAUUCUGAGGGGGAAGACAGUAUAAUCUCCAUUUCUCAGAUGGAAAUAUGGAGGCAUGGGAAAUCUUAAUCUUGGCCAAAAAUCUCUUAGUUGACAAAUGAAUUCAGGGCUUGGCAACCCUAAGCAGCCAGUGAUAACAGGGGCCCACAAAUGAGGGAGUAGCUUGCUUCUGGAAUUCAGUCUUACUGGUAACAAACGAUAAGAUCUUUUUAAAAGUCUUUUUAUUUUUAUUUUUUUUAACUUGGCCCAGAUUGUCAACUUAUGAAUCCUACUGAUUAAAAAUUUUUUCUUGCAUUUCUCAUCAGCCAUCGAACAUUGGUUCAUGAUUAUUUAUAGCACUUAAUGACAUUGAAAGGGAUUUAUUUCAAUUUAUUCAGUCUUUAUUAACACUCCACAGGGAACAGAGUGCAGCCGCCACUGGCCUUUUCUCAGGCACAGUUGAGAUGCUAAGAAGGGAGGAACUUCACCACUAAAGGAAGAACUGAACCCGGUGGAGAGAAGCCCAGGAGGCAAGUUAUCCCUAUAGGAUUAUCCAGGAAAAAUAUUAAAUAGGUUUUAAUAAGGUUCAGGUGAGUUUAUGAAUGAUCACUUCAUUAUUCAAGCGGAUUUAGGGAUGUUCUGCAAAAUCCUCCGUUUCUAAGCUGGCCUCAUGGGGACCAGCAGCAGAGGCAGAGGCUGAGCCGCUGCACUGGGGAUUGGGGCCAGCGUGGAAUUUCCCCUGCUCAUAGGGAAAAGACAAGACAGAAAACGGAUGGUGGGAGGGCUGAUGACUCUUCCAAAUGGCUAUUCCUGAUGUUUCCUGGCAAUGAGCAGCUAUGAAAGGGACAGGUUCACAUGCGACUACACCAUGACUUUUGCUGUGCCCCAGUGUAACAGGAGGUUAUAGACAACAGUUUUAUUUGCAUAUAUAACCUUUGCUUGGCUUAUUAACAUAUUGCUGAUUUAAAUUCUGAUACAUUGUCAAAGUAGAAAGCUGUUCGGGUUUUUGGCAAGCCCAGUAUAAAAAAUGCAGGCAUGCAACAAAUAGGUAGUGAAUAUUCACAUUUAAAUACAUGUAAAUAUAAAUAGAAUUAAAAAAAAAAAGUUUAGAGACAGGGCCUUGCUGUGUUACCCAGGCUGGAGUGCUAUGGGACAAUCAUAGCUCACUGUAGCCUUGAACUCCUGGGCUCAAGCGAUCCUCCUGCUUCGGCCUCCCAAGUAGCUAGGGCUACAGACACAUGCCAUCAUGCCCAGCUAAUUUUUACAGUUUCCUUUUGUAGAGACAGGAUCUUGUUUUGUUGCCCAGGCUAGUCUCAGACUCCUGGCUUCAAGUGAUCCUCCCACAGUGCUGGGAUUACAAGUGUGAGCCACCGAGCCUGGCCU